AGUGAACGCUGGCGGUAGGCCUAACACAUGCAAGUCGAACGGCAGCACAGUAAGAGCUUGCUCUUACGGGUGGCGAGUGGCGGACGGGUGAGGAAUACAUCGGAAUCUACUUUUUCGUGGGGGAUCACGUAGGGAAACUUACGCUAAUACCGCAUCCGACCUACGGGUGAAAGCAGGGGAUCUUCGGACCUUGCGCGAUUGAAUGAGCCGAUGUGGGAUUAGCUAGUUGGCGGGGUAAAGGCCCACCAAGGCGACGAUCCGUAGCUGGUCUGAGAGGAUGAUCAGCCACACUGGAACUGGAACACGGUCCAGACUCCUAAGGGAGGCAGCAGUGGGGAAUAUUGGACAAUGGGCGCAAGCCUGAUCCAGCCAUACCGCGUGGGUGAAGAAGGCGUUCGGGUUGUAAAGACCUUUUGUGGGGAAAGAAAAGCAGCAGGUUAAUACCCCGCUGUUCUGACGGUAACCAAAGAAUAAGCACCGGCUAACUUCGUG
rnacentral:rRNA from 1 species